UGUUGCAUUUCCCAAGACCACCCUGGCCCGCCACGCCCCCAUCCUGUGCCUAUAAAAACUCCCGAGACCCUAGCGGGCACGGACACAAGCGGCUGGACGUGAAGAGGAACACACCGGCGGGAGAACACAGAACACCAACCCUCUCUUUAGUCACCCUGGAGGCCUCGGAGAAGGCGGUUUCGGUGAUCCGUGAAGAGACCCCGAGUCUGUUACAUCCCGGAGAAUGACAAGAGAGCGAGUACCUGGGUGACGUUUACGUUCUGGGAUUUCGGGAGAUGCGGUUUUCUGCACGCCAGGGGCCAAGCCUGAGACGUAGAUGGACGGCAGGGAUAGGAGCUCUCUCCGCGCCACAAACGCCCCUGCUCAUACCUGGGUUCCUUGAUUUUCCUGCCUAUAUAACCGAGCCUCCCAUGGCCGGGCUCUGAGCUCUCAUUCUGCGGACUGGGACAAAGGGGUUAACUGUGAUGCGCUUUGUAUAACCCCAGGAUUCUGCACUUGCCCAAGGGCGAGGCGCAAAUCAAAAACUACGCACAACUGAACACCGAGAUCAGCUUACUCAGACCCGAUGAUCCAAGAUAAGACCAAAGCCAAACGGAUCCAGCAACUCUGCGCAGAUCUUCAUGUUCCAGCAGCUAAGUUCCACUGAAUAAACCUAUGAUUCGCCUAGUUUAGAAAUUCUGGCCGUGCGCGGUGGCUCACGUCUGUAAUCCCAGCACUUUCGGAGGCCGAGGCGGGCGGAUCACAAGGUCAGGAGACCGAGACCAUCCUGGCUAACACGGUGAAACUCCGUCUCUACUAAAGAUACAAAAAAAAUUAGCCGGGCGUGGUGGCGGGCGCCUGUAGUCCCAGCUACUCGGGAGGCUGAGGCAGGAGAAUGGCGUGAACUCGGGAGGCGGAGCUUGCAGUGAGCCGAGAUCGCGCCACUGCACUCUAGCCGGGACGACAGAGCAAGACUCCGUCUCAAAAAAAAAAAAAAAAAAAAAAAAAGAAAAGAAAAGAAAAAGAAAAAGAAAUUCUGUCCAGUCCCUCCUGAGAAGGACCUUACUAACCUUCCCCCUAAAAGUGUCCUAUGAAUAGCUCCAGUCCCCAGACCCUUUAAAUUCUGGUCUCUGACUCACCCUUGUUUUAGGCAGUACUGGGACUCCAUAGAGGUACGGCUCUUUGCUCAGCAAGUUUAAUAAAUCCAAGGUAGUAGAAUCAA